rnacentral:tRNA from 1 species
GUCUGGGUAGCUUGGCGGUUAAAGCAGUCCCCUCCUAUCCCUUACUGCUGGGUUAAACACCCUAUAGUUUGGUAUAAAGUAACAUGGGGUACCACCCAAGUUCAACUCUUGGUCCAGGCG